AAGAAUUGAAGAUUCAAACUUCUAUAAAGCUCUCAAGACGUGUAAGUUUUUAUCAAUUUCGAGAUCAUCGUUUUCUGAAAGAUCGAAGACUUGAAAGAUCAAACUUUCCUUGAAUUUCAGAAGACUGAAACUCAGAUAGACUUGCAACUACGACAUCCUAAAGAUCGAAGAUCAAUAGAUUCUAAGUUUUUAAUUUGUAUUCGAGAAAAAACAUCAAAUGAGUAAAUACUAGAGAUUGUAUUCAUAAUAUUUAUCAAUAUACAAAGUUUAAUUCCGC
rnacentral:lncRNA from 1 species